rnacentral:lncRNA from 1 species
CAGUUAAAUUGAAAAAUUGGAAAUUAAAGGUAAACGGGAAAUCUCUCCUCCGGGCGUCCGCAUAACUCUUCUACAUACUCUAAGCCAUUUGAAUGUUCUUCAUAAUCUUAACUAUUUUGACUGUAGUAUACUCUACGAGAUCUGGGUCGAACAGUUUUCUAUCACCCACUUCUUCCCAACAUAUCGACGAUCUACAUAGGCAGCCAUACAACGCCUCGUACGGGCCAUACCAAUACUUACUUGGUAGCUGUUGUUGU